CCCUUAGAUGUUCUGGGCCGCACGCGCGCUACACUGUUCGACGCAGCGAGUCUUAACCUUGACCGAAAGGUUUGGGUAAUCUUCAGCAAAGUCGAACGUGAUGGGGAUCGAUCAUUGCAAUUAUUGAUCGUGAACGAGGAAUUCCUAGUAAGUGCAAGUCAUCAGCUUGCGCUGAUUACGUCCCUGCCCUUUGUACACACCGCCCGUCGCUACUACCGAUUGAAUGGUUUAGUGAGAUCUCUGGAUUGACGCUGGCUAGGGGGCGACCCUUGGCCAGGAUGUCGAGAAACUGCUCAAACUUGAUCAUUUAGAGGAAGUAAAAGUCGUAACA
rnacentral:rRNA from 1 species